AUUCCCCCGAGUCGGCCCGCGGGCUACGGCCGCCUGCGGAGCGCAGGAACCUUCACCUCCCGAGGACAGGCGCCUUCCCCUCGGGACCCGGCUCCCCUGCUGCCUGCGCCGCUCUGUCCCCCUGCCGCUGCCCAAGCCUCCAGCAGGGGCCACCGAGGGCUCCAGGAGCACCCCAGGCCCGUUCUUCUGGCCCACAGCGCCCCUCCUGUGACCCUCAGCGACCCUCCUGUCCUGCCCUCCGGCGGCGCGGCUGUCUGGAGACUCUGCACCGUCGCGGCCUCGCAGCCUCGCAGCCCCGCGCCGGGUGGGGAGGGGAGGGUGGCGUUCCUGAGUCCGCGGAGGAAAGGGUCGCAGCUGCAGUCGCGCCAGCCCUCGGGCCUACAUCCGCUCCGCCGCGACGCGGCUCACAAACUAGGGAGGGGAGAAGGGAAGAAAGACCCGAUUCGGGAACACGGCUUUGUCCCUGGAACUGUACCUCAUGUCCCCUCACUUAAUCCUCCCAAGACCUGUGGGGCGUGUCGUCAUUUUAGGGCUGGAGAUGAGGAAACCGAGGCUCGGAGAGAUGAAGCGUUGUACGGCCACCGAGCGGCUGCUUUGCAACGAAGCCAAAGCCAACGUUUUGUUCUUAGCGGCGGUCGUUUGAGCCACGCCUCACCGCAACGAGUCUGCCAUCAGCCAAGAGGUCACAUCUUUUCUGGAACUCGCUCCCCCCUCACAUCAUGGGAGCAGUCAGUCUACUCUUCCAGUAGAAACUGUUUUGCCACUUUUGGGGGGAAUCUUGAGCUACCAGCUCAUCGCUCAGGUCUUAGAUGACACUUUCCUUGACCCCACCGGGUGCUCCAGCGCCUCUGCUUCCGGUUUUCAUAGCCCUUAUAAUAUCACCUAUUGCAAUUGCCCAUUUCCUUGUCUGUCUCCCUCUGCAGAUGGAGUGAAGGUACCUGAGCGCAGGAACCAUGGUCUUCAUUGCUGCCUCAGCAUUAGCGGAAGUGCCACGGGCCGGCUCCCAGGGGGCCAGAGUUUCCCAGGAACACCAUUGAGUACCACUGAACUAGAGUCUGCAAGUUAAAGUAAGGCAAGAAGGAAAACCGGAAACAACUGUAAAAACCUGACCUUUCGUCACCUUAAUACUGGCCAUCAUUUAUCGAGUGCUUAUUAUGUAACAGACAUUGUUCUCAGUGUGUGAGUGCAGUGUUCCUCAAACCUAAAUGUGGGCCUGAAUCGCAGCGGAUCUUGGUAAAAUGCAGUUUCUCAUUCAGUACCUCUGGGGUGCGGCCUGAGAUUCUGCAUUUCCAACAAGCUCCCAGGAUACUUUGUAUAGAAAGGCUUUGGUGUAUUAACUAACUCGAUCUUCUUAAUAAUCCUAUGAAAUACUACUGCUAUUCCCAUUUUACAGAUGAGGAAACAGAGGUUAAGCAUAUAUGAACUUACAUCAAAAUAAAUAGACUGCAGGGCAAGGAGGGAGGGGAGAAUAGUGUGGGCAGUGUACAGUGCAGAAACAAAGUUCUAGGCAGAGGAAAAAGGAUUUACAGAAAGCCUGGCAUACAGGGCAGGGGGACGGGGCCUGCACACGGGGCUGUUUCACCGUUAGACGUUAUAAGCACAGUACUUGGGGCUAUGGGCUUCCUGAAGGUCCCAAGUAUUUGAGACCUGAAAAAAAUUUAUUGACACCUACAUAGGAAAAGUGAACUUUUAAAUUAAUAAUUCCAAAAUUCAAAUCACGAAUUGUUUCAAAAAUUUUACAUGAUAGAAUUCAUAUUUAGUAAGCGAUACGGGUAUAUUUUAAUGCAUUUGAUUUUAAAAACGGGGUAGGGCCUACUAAGAACAGGCCAAGCCCUGGCCCCAGUGGGUUUGGAUAUAAUCCUGAGGGCAGCUGGGAACCACUGAGAGAAGCAGGAGAAUGUUCUCUGUGGCUACAGUGAGGAGAAUGGAUUGGAGGGAGGCCAGACUGGAGGCCCAGUGGCUAGAGACCAGAUAGGCAGUUACAGUCUUCCAGACUGCGAGACAAUCUCUCUUUAGUGCCAAGAUUAGCAUAAAAUCAUAGCAUUAUAUAACCCAAUUAUUCUUUGAUUCCUGCAUCCCCAAUCUGACUCAGCAUUCUAAAUUUACUUAAGAUCUGGGGACAAGGGUUUUUGGCAAAUCCUUGAAGGCAAAUGAUGUUACAGUCAAUCAGUAUAUGCCUUGAGCCAGACAGACAUGGGUACGGGCCUCAGUUCUGCUGCUUGCUAGCUAUGUGACUUUGCACAAGUGAUUUAACUUCUCUGGGCCUUGGAUUCCUUACUGGUAACACGAGCAUAAUCGAUUCCUCACAGAAUUAAGUGAGAAAACUAUGUAUGUAGGACUUCUUAUGGAGUGGGUACUUAGAAAUAAAUGGUAGCCGUUAUCAUUUAUGUGCCUUUGUUCU
rnacentral:lncRNA from 1 species